UGGUGGAAAAGCAUCGACGUAAGCACGAGCGCGCAGCCGUUGCCGUACAGACGGCGCGAUUACCGUCUGCCUCCAGCCCCGCCGCCGGCGUCGCGGAUCAGGCACGCUGCGCAAUAAAUAUACUAUAAUAUUGUGUGUGUAGUAGCAAACAGCGUUGGCUAUGGCUAUGGUGUGUGUCGGUGCGCAGGGAGGCACGCGUGGACGUGGUUCGUGUGGCGCGGGUGACGGCGGCUCGGUGGUGUGGGCCGGGCCCGUACUGGUAUCGCGAGCAGCACUGCCUGCACUGCGCGCCACCGAACUACCUUACACAUGUUCGCGAUGCGUAGAAACGUCGUGGCCGGGAUGCAAACUGGCGACGCAUCCCUCUGCACCAGAGGAACGUGUAGAACGCAAGUCGGACGCGCGGCCACUCGUGACUGGAGGGGUGAGUAAUCAGAACGAGUUACGUAAUAAUCGAACGCUCGAGAUGUUUCGAAAUAACGUUUUGAUUAAACGCAUUGAUAUACUAUAUUAAUGAUACAAAAAAAUUCGGGUAUAGUUACAGAAAGAAAAGAUUAAAUGGAAUUUCUUCCGAGACUUAUUCAAUGACAGCUUCAGCGAUGACGGUCCAGAACGCGUGGAGGUGUAUCGGUUCGAGCACGGGAGCGGCGAGUACCUGGCGGCGUGCGGCGGCGC